CACCCACUUUCCUAACCCGUCUGACUGCCUUCUGGUACGAUAUGUCAACCACAGAUUUAAAUUGCUAGUUGAAAAAGGUGUUUCUAAGGCAAGAUUAGAGUAGAUCUUGGUCUGCUGUCAUGGUCCAUUGGAAUGACUUUGGAAGACAUCAGGGGGAGCAGCAGAUUGGACAACCAUAUAAAAGGCUGAAUAAUCUUCCCUGCUGUGGAAAGCCAAAAUGAAAACAUUCCUUCAGCCUUCUUUCAACAUUUAUGAAGAAUUGCAUGACUCACAUAUGUAAAUAUAUCCUGUCUUCCUAUGGAAAUGAGAUAGGCCACCCUUGCAUGGAUUCCUUCUGGUAAAAGGGCUAUUAAUGUAUCCAACAAAAUACAAAUUAUAGUUUGUGGCAAAAAAAAUUAAAGCACAAUAUGCA